GAUGAAGAACGUAGCGAAAUGCGAUACGUAAUGUGAAUUGCAGAAUUCAGUGAAUCAUCGAAUCUUUGAACGCAUAUUGCGCUCUCUGGUAUUCCGGAGAGCAUGCUUGUUUGAGUAUCAGUAAACACCUCAACUCCCUUUUCUUUUUUGAAAUUGGAGCUGGACUUGAGUGAUCCCAACGCUUUCUUCCAAGAAAGUGGCGGGUUGCUUGAAAUGCAGGUGCAGCUGAACUUUUCUCUGAGCUAUAAGCAUAUCUAUUUAGUCUGCCUAAAAAACAGAUUAUUACCUUUGCUGCAGCUAACAUAAAGGAGACUAGUUCUUGUGCUGACUGAUGCAGGAUUCACAGAGACAGCUUCGGCUGACUUUGUAAACUCGAUCUCAAAUCAAGUAAGACUACCCGCUGAACUUAAGCAUAUCCAAUAAGCGGAGGA
rnacentral:misc_RNA from 1 species